ensembl:snRNA U6 U6 spliceosomal RNA
GUGCUCGCUUCAGCAACACAUAUACUAAAAUUGGAAUGAUAAUUAGCAUGGCCCCUGCGCAAGGAUGACAUGCAAACUUGUGAAGCGUGCCAUAUUUUU